CCUACGGGAGGCAGCAGUCGAGAAUCAUUCACAAUGGGGGAAACCCUGAUGGUGCGACGCCGCGUGGGUGAAUGAAGGUCUUCGGAUUGUAAACCCCUGUCAUGUGGGAGCAAAUUAAAAAGAUAGUACCACAAGAGGAAGAGACGGCUAACUCUGUGCCAGCAGCCUCGGUAAUACAGAGGUCUUAAGCGUUGUUCGGAAUCACUGGGCGUAAGGCGUGCGUAGGCUGUUUCGUAAGUCGUGUGUGAAAGGCGCGGGCUCAACCCGCGGCCGGCACAUGAUACGGCGCUACGAGAGUAAUGGAGGGGUAACCGGAGUUCUCGGUGUAGCAGUGAAAUGCGUAGAUAUCGAGAGGAGCACUCGUGGCGAAGGCGGGUUCCUGGACAUUAACUGACGCUGAGGCACGAAGGCCAGGGGAGCGAAAGGGAUUAGAUACCCCAGUAGUC
rnacentral:rRNA from 1 species